UACGUAGGGGGCAAGCGUUGUUCGGAAUUACUGGGCGUAAAGCGCACGUAGGCGGACAUUUAAGUCAGGGGUGAAAUCCCAGAGCUCAACUCUGGAACUGCCCUUGAUACUGGGUGUCUUGAGUAUGGAAGAGGUGAGUGGAAUUCCGAGUGUAGAGGUGAAAUUCGUAGAUAUUCGGAGGAACACCAGUGGCGAAGGCGGCUCACUGGUCCAUUACUGACGCUGAGGUGCGAAAGCGUGGGGAGCAAACAGG
rnacentral:rRNA from 1 species